rnacentral:rRNA from 1 species
ACGAACGCUGGCGGCGUGCCUAACACAUGCAAGUCGAGCGGGAAUCUGCAAAAUGAAGCUUCGGCAGAAUUUUGCAGAGGAUAGCGGCGGACGGGUGAGUAACGCGUGAGUAACCUGCCCUUAGGAGGGGGAUAACACACCGAAAGGUGUGCUAAUACCGCAUAACAUGCAUUUAUCGCAUGAUAGAUGUAUCAAAGAUUUAUCGCCUAAGGAUGGACUCGCGUCUGAUUAGAUAGUUGGUGAGGUAACGGCUCACCAAGUCGACGAUCAGUAGCCGAACUGAGAGGUUGAUCGGCCACAUUGGGACUGAGACACGGCCCAGACUCCUACGGGAGGCAGCAGUGGGGAAUAUUGCGCAAUGGGGGAAACCCUGACGCAGCAACGCCGCGUGAAGGAUGAAGGUCUUCGGAUUGUAAACUUCUGUUCUGAGGGACGAACAAGGACGGUACCUCAGGAGGAAGCCACGGCUAACUACGUG